rnacentral:rRNA from 1 species
UGAAUACGAGAUGCUACGGCGUCGAAGCAGUCUAUGUCAUACUUCCAAGAAAAGCUUGCACUGUCAUAAACAAAUAAUGCCUGUACCAUAACCGACACAGGUGGGUAGGUAGAGUAUACUAAGGGGCGCGAGAUAACUCUCUCUAAGGAACUCGGCAAAAUGACUCCGUAACUUCGGGAGAAGGAGUGCCUUAUUUAUAAGGUUGCAAUAACAAGAUCCAAGCAACUGUUUACCAAAAACACAGGUCUCCGCUAAGUCGUAAGACGAUGUAUGGGGGCUGACGCCUGCCCAGUGCCAGAAGGUUAAAGAAGUUGGUUAGCAUCCGCGAAGCUGAUAACUGAAGCCCUGGUGAACGGCGGCCGUAACAAUAACGGUCCUAAGGUAGCGAAAUUCCUUGUCGGGUAAGUUCCGACCCGCACGAAAGGCGUAAUGAUUUGGAUACUGUCUCGGAGAGGGGCUCGGUGAAAUAGACUUGUCUGUGAAGAUGCGGACUACCUGCACCAGGACAGAAAGACCCUAUGAAGCUUUACUGUAACCUGAAAUUGAAAUUGGACUUUACUUGCGCAGUAUAGGUGGGAGGCGUUGAGAAUAUUCUUGCGGGAUUAUUGGAGCCAUCAGUGAGAUACCACUCUUGUAAUGUUAGAUUUCUAACUUUGUAUCAUUAUCUGGUCAAAGAACAGUUUCAGGCGGGCAGUUUGACUGGGGCGGUCGCCUCCUAAACGGUAACGGAGGCGCACAAAGGUUUCCUCUGAACGGGUAGAAAUCGUAUCUAGAGUGUAAAGGCAUAAGGAAGCUUGACUGUGAGACCUACAAGUCGAGCAGGGACGAAAGUCGGUCUUAGUGAUCUGACGGUGCUGAGUGGAAAGGCCGUCACUCAACGGGUAAAAGUUACUCUAAGGAUAACAGGCUGAUCUCCCCCAAGAGUUCACAUCGACGGGGAGGUUUGGCACCUCGAUGUCGGCUCAUCGCAUCCUGGGGCGGUAGUACGUCCCAAGGGUUGGGCUGUUCGCCCAUGAAAGCGGUACGCGAGCUGGGUUCAGAACGUCGUGAGACAGUUCGGUCCAUAUCCGGUGUAGGCGUUAGAAUAUUGAGAGGAGCCUUCUUUAGUACGAGAGGACCGAGAAGGACAUACCUCUGGUGUACCAGUUAUCGUGCCAACGGUAAACGCUGGGUAGCUAUGUGUGGAGUGGAUAACCGCUGAAAGCAUCUAGGUGGGAAGCCCACCUCAAGAUGAUUGCUCUCACAGGGUUAACCUGGUAAGGUCACGGGAAGACCACCCGUUGAUAGGCACUCGGUGGAAGUCCAGCAAUGGGUGAAGCC